rnacentral:rRNA from 1 species
GAAUUCGCCCUUAGAGUUUGAUCCUGGCUCAGGGCGAACGCUGGCGGCGCGCCUAACACAUGCAAGUCGAACGAGCGAGAGAGAGCUUGCUUUCUCGAGCGAGUGGCGAACGGGUGAGUAACGCGUGAGGAACCUGCCUCGAAGAGGGGGACAACAGUUGGAAACGACUGCUAAUACCGCAUAAGCCCACAGGUCGGCAUCGACCAGAGGGAAAAGGAGCAAUCCGCUUUGAGAUGGCCUCGCGUCCGAUUAGCUAGUUGGUGAGGUAAUGGCCCACCAAGGCAACGAUCGGUAGCCGGACUGAGAGGUUGAACGGCCACAUUGGGACUGAGACACGGCCCAGACUCCUACGGGAGGCAGCAGUGGGGAAUAUUGCACAAUGGGGGAAACCCUGAUGCAGCGACGCCGCGUGGAGGAAGAAGGUCUUCGGAUUGUAAACUCCUGUUGUUGAGGAAGAUAAUGACGGUACUCAACAAGGAAGUGACGGCUAACUACGUGCCAGCAGCCCGCGGUAAAACGUAGGUCACAAGCGUUGUCCGGAAUUACUGGGUGUAAAGGGAGCGCAGGCGGGAAGACAAGUUGGAAGUGAAAUCCAUGGGGCUCAACCCAUGAACUGCUUUCAAAACUGUUUUUCUUGAGUAGUGCAGAGGUAGGCGGAAUUCCCGGUGUAGCGGUGGAAUGCGUAGAUAUCGGGAGGAACACCAGUGGCGAAGGCGGCCUACUGGGCACCAACUGACGCUGAGGCUCGAAAGUGUGGGUAGCAAACAGGAUUAGAUACCCUGGUAGUCCACACUGUAAACGAUGAUUACUAGGUGUUGGAGGAUUGACCCCUUCAGUGCCGCAGUUAACACAAUAAGUAAUCCACCUGGGGAGUACGACCGCAAGGUUGAAACUCAAAGGAAUUGACGGGGGCCCGCACAAGCAGUGGAGUAUGUGGUUUAAUUCGACGCAACGCGAAGAACCUUACCAAGUCUUGACAUCCUGCGACGGACAUAGAAAUAUGUUUUUCCUUCGGGACGCAGAGACAGGUGGUGCAUGGUUGUCGUCAGCUCGUGUCGUGAGAUGUUGGGUUAAGUCCCGCAACGAGCGCAACCCUUAUGGUCAGUUACUACGCAAGAGGACUCUGGCCAGACUGCCGUUGACAAAACGGAGGAAGGUGGGGAUGACGUCAAAUCAUCAUGCCCUUUAUGACUUGGGCUACACACGUACUACAAUGGCGUUAAACAAAGAGAAGCAAGACCGCGAGGUGGAGCAAAACUCAGAAACAACGUCCCAGUUCGGACUGCAGGCUGCAACUCGCCUGCACGAAGUCGGAAUUGCUAGUAAUCGCAGAUCAGCAUGCUGCGGUGAAUACGUUCCCGGGCCUUGUACACACCGCCCGUCA